UUCACAGAGUGGUGUCUCACUAGAGGC
rnacentral:piRNA from 1 species